CGAACAUCCAGGCUUACUGCAAGCCACCGGUGCUGGUAAACUUAGGAAGUGUGGAAUAGACAAGUGGAGCAUCUCCUGUAUGAGAAAAGGCUGAGAGACCUGGGCUGUUCAGCAUGGAGAAGGGAAGACAGAGGAGAUCUUAUCAAUGCCUACCCCCCAGGUGCUCCAGGUGGCUACAGCACAGCUUCGAGUAUCGACCUGCUGUUAUCAGCUCCCACUUUAUCAGGAAGGGGCCUGCUCCACGCUGAGCACCUGCCCCAUCAAUCUUCCCCCGUCCCUCAGUGCAAGGACCCAGCUGAGUCAGAGCGGCAGCAACGGGGACAAUACGGCCGCGUGUCCUGGGCUGGCACCUGAAGGCUUCAUGAGUGAUGGACGGGCACCAGGUUCUGGCUGCAGACAUGCCUUGAUUUGCUCUUCUGUCUGGCAGUACAAACUCUCUCCACUGCUUUCCCCAUAGAGUACAGCCCUGGCCCAGACGGGCGGCAUUCCCCCUCACACCGCUUGGGAUCUCCUUU
ensembl:lncRNA